ACUGCGCGAAAAACACGGACGAGGAAGACACACGCACAUGUGCGUGUGUCUUCCUCGUCCGUGUUUUUCGCGCAUU
rnacentral:pre_miRNA from 1 species